rnacentral:rRNA from 1 species
AACGAACGCUGGCGGCGUGCCUAACACAUGCAAGUCGAACGGAGAUAAGAAGCUUGCUUCUUAUUUUAGUGGCGCACGGGUGAGUAACGCGUGGAUAAUCUACCUGAUGCUCUGGGAUAACAUCUCGCAAGGGGUGCUAAUAACGGAUAAGCCCACGAUCUCUUCGGAGAAUGCGGGAAAAGGAGGGGACCUUCGGGCCUUCCGACGUCAGAUGAGUCCGCGUCCCAUUAGCGAGUUGGCGGGGUAAUGGCCCACCGAGGCUACGAUGGGUAGCUGGUGUGAGGGGAUGAUCGGCCACACUGGAACUGAGACACGGUCCAGACUCCUACGGGAGGGAGCAGUGGGGAAUUUUGCGCAAUGGGGGAAACCCUGACGCAGCAACGCCGCGUGAGUGAUGAAGGCUUUCGGGUCGUAAAGCUCUGUCAGAAGGGAAGAAAUGUAGGUGGCUAAUAUCCAUUCUACUUGACGGUACCUUCAAAGGAAGCACCGGCUAACUCCGUGCCAGCAGCCGCCGUAAAAC